rnacentral:tRNA from 3 species
ACGGGAGUAGCUCAGUUGGUAGAGCACCGGUCUCCAAAACCGGGUGUCGGGAGUUCGAGUCUCUCCUCCCGUG